GAUGAACGCUAGCGAUAGGCUUAACACAUGCAAGUCGAGGGGCAGCACAAGGUAGCUUGCUAUCUGGGUGGCGACCGGCGCACGGGUGCGUAACGCGUAUGCAACCUGCCCUAUACAGGAGGAUAACCCGUCGAAAGACGGACUAAUACUGCGUAUGCUCACAACUUGGCAUCAAGUGGUGAGGAAAGAAAUUCGGUAUAGGAUAGGCAUGCGUCCCAUUAGCUUGUUGGUGAGGUAACGGCUCACCAAGGCAACGAUGGGUAGGGGAACUGAGAGGUUUAUCCCCCACACUGGUACUGAGACACGGACCAGACUCCUACGGGAGGCAGCAGUGAGGAAUAUUGGUCAAUGGGCGCGAGCCUGAACCAGCCAAGUCGCGUGAAGGAUGACUGUCUUAUGGAUUGUAAACUUCUUUUAUACGGGAAUAACAAGAGUCACGUGUGACUCCCUGCAUGUACCGUAUGAAUAAGCAUCGGCUAACUCCGU
rnacentral:rRNA from 1 species